rnacentral:rRNA from 1 species
UACGUAGGGUGCGAGCGUUAAUCGGAAUUACUGGGCGUAAAGCGUGCGCAGGCGGUUCGUUGUGUCGGUGGUGAAAGCCCCGGGCUUAACCUGGGAAUGGCCAUGGAAACUGGCGAACUGGAGUGUGGCAGAGGGGGGUGGAAUUCCGCGUGUAGCAGUGAAAUGCGUAGAGAUGCGGAGGAACACCGAUGGCGAAGGCAGCCCCCUGGGCUAGCACUUACGCUCAGGCACGAAAGCGUGGGGAGCAAACAGG